ACCGGGCGUUAAGUUGCAGGGUAUAGACCCGAAACCCGGUGAUCUAGCCAUGGGCAGGUUGAAGGUUGGGUAACACUAACUGGAGGACCGAACCGACUAAUGUUGAAAAAUUAGCGGAUGACCUGUGGCUGGGGGUGAAAGGCCAAUCAAACCGGGAGAUAGCUGGUUCUCCCCGAAAGCUAUUUAGGUAGCGCCUCGUGAAUUCAUCUCCGGGGGUAGAGCACUGUUUCGGCUAGGGGGUCAUCCCGACUUACCAACCCGAUGCAAACUGCGAAUACCGGAGAAUGUUAUCACGGGAGACACACGGCGGGUGCUAACGUCCGUCGUGAAGAGGGAAACAACCCAGACCGCCAGCUAAGGUCCCAAAGUCAUGGUUAAGUGGGAAACGAUGUGGGAAGGCCCAGACAGCCAGGAUGUUGGCUUAGAAGCAGCCAUCAUUUAAAGAAAGCGUAAUAGCUCACUGGUCGAGUCGGCCUGCGCGGAAGAUGUAACGGGGCUAAACCAUGCACCGAAGCUGCGGCAGCGACGCUUAUGCGUUGUUGGGUAGGGGAGCGUUCUGUAAGCCUGUGAAGGUGGCCUGUGAGGGUUGCUGGAGGUAUCAGAAGUGCGAAUGCUGACAUAAGUAACGAUAAAGCGGGUGAAAAGCCCGCUCGCCGGAAGACCAAGGGUUCCUGUCCAACGUUAAUCGGGGCAGGGUGAGUCGACCCCUAAGGCGAGGCCGAAAGGCGUAGUCGAUGGGAAACGGGUUAAUAUUCCCGUACUUGGUGUUACUGCGAAGGGGGGACGGAGAAGGCUAUGUUGGCCGGGCGACGGUUGUCCCGGUUUAAGCGUGUAGGUGUGUGUUCCAGGUAAAUCCGGUU
rnacentral:rRNA from 1 species